AUUGAACGCUGGCGGCAGGCCUAACACAUGCAAGUCGAGCGGAUGAAGGGAGCUUGCUCCUGGAUUCAGCGGCGGACGGGUGAGUAAUGCCUAGGAAUCUGCCUGGUAGUGGGGGAUAACGUCCGGAAACGGGCGCUAAUACCGCAUACGUCCUGAGGGAGAAAGUGGGGGAUCUUCGGACCUCACGCUAUCAGAUGAGCCUAGGUCGGAUUAGCUAGUUGGUGGGGUAAAGGCCUACCAAGGCGACGAUCCGUAACUGGUCUGAGAGGAUGAUCAGUCACACUGGAACUGAGACACGGUCCAGACUCCUACGGGAGGCAGCAGUGGGGAAUAUUGGACAAUGGGCGAAAGCCUGAUCCAGCCAUGCCGCGUGUGUGAAGAAGGUCUUCGGAUUGUAAAGCCCUUUAAGUUGGGAAGAAAGGCAGUAAGUUAAUACCUUGCUGUUUUGACGUUACCAACAGAAUAAGCACCGGCUAACUUCGUG
rnacentral:rRNA from 1 species